UCUUUGUUUGCAAACAAACUGUACUUUCAGAGGAGGAAAAAAGUCCAGGACAAACGUGACGGCGGUGGAUAAAUACACCCAGAUAUAACGAGUUGUUUUGACGUUACUUACAUGAAGGUGAGCAGGAAGGAGGAGUAACGUUUGAACAAAGGAUGUCACAACUUCCUUACUCUGUUGCAAAACAUUUCUGAGAGCUCCAUGCUGAGUUCUCUGAAAGGGUCCUUGAUGUGAUCAAUAAACCAGUUUGAAGCCA